rnacentral:tRNA from 1 species
AGAAGCGUAGCUCAGUGGCAAGAGCGUCUGCCUUACAAGCAGAGGGUCGUGAGUUCGAGCCUCACCGCUUCUACCA